GAUGGCAGGGUGGACUGGUAAUGCUGUUUUGACAUCGCUAGUAGUUGCAGCAUGCCUUGGACUCAUAAGCGCAGCUGUUCCUGGUCCAAUAGAUGCGAGAUACCCGGAUUACAUUGUGUACCCCAGAGUCCCGUGUGAGAAAGAAGGCGUGUUCCCCCAUCCCAGAAACUGUUCGUGGUACUACAGGUGCGUCGACAGGUUCGGCAUCGGAUUUUACUGGACGAGCCACUUCGAGUGCGAGCCGGGGACCGUGUUCUCUGAUGACCUUGACCAGUGCGUGUUCCCCUUUCUGACCGGA